UUAGCACUUAAAACCGCGAACUGCGAAUGGCUCAUUAAAUCAGUUAUCGUAUAUUUGAUAGUACCUACUACAUGGAUACCCGUGGUAAUUCUAGAGCUAAUACAUGCUGAAAAUCCCGACUCCGGAAGGGAUGUAUUUAUUAGAUUAAAAACCAAUGCCCUCCGGGGCUCACUGGUGAUUCAUAAUAACUCCUCGAAUCGCAUGGCCUUGCGCCGGCGAUGGUUCAUUCAAAUUUCUGCCCUAUCAACUUUCGACGGCUGGGUCUUGGCCAGCCGUGGUUGCAACGGGUAACGGAGGGUUAGGGCUUGACCCCGGAGAAGGAGCCUGAGAAACGGCUACUACAUCCAAGGAAGGCAGCAGGCGCGCAAAUUACCCAAUCCCGACCCGGGGAGGUAGUGACAAUAAAUACUGAUACAGGGCUCUUUUGGGUCUUGUAAUUGGAAUGAGUACAAUUUAAAUCCCUUAACGAGGAACAAUUGGAGGGCAAGUCUGGUGCCAGCAGCCGCGGUAAUUCCAGCUCCAAUAGCGUCGUAUAUUAAAGUUGUUCCAGUUAAAAAGCUCGUAGUUGAACCUUGGGCCUGGCUGGCCGGUCUGCCUCACCGCAUGCACUGGUCCGGCCGGGCCUUUCCCCCUGGGGAGCCGCAUGCCCUUCACUGGGCGUGCCGGGGAACCAGGACUUUUACUGUGAAAAAAUUAGAGUGUUCAAAGCAGGCCUAUGCUCGGAUACAUUAGCAUGGAAUAAUAGAAUAGGACGUCGCGGUUCUAUUUUGUUGGUUUCUAGGACCGCCGUAAUGAUUAAUAGGGACAGUCGGGGGCAUCAGUAUUCAAUCGUCAGAGGUGAAAUUCUUGGAUCGAUUGAAGACUAACUACUGCGAAAGCAUUUGCCAAGGAUGUUUUCAUUAAUCAGGAACGAAAGUUAGGGGAUCGAAAACGAUCAGAUACCGUUGUAGUCUUAACCAUAAACUAUGCCGACUGGGGAUCGGGCGAUGUUAUUUCUUGACUCGCUCGGCACCCUACACGAAAGUAAAGUUUUUGGGUUCUGGGGGGAGUAUGGUCGCAAGGCUGAAACUUAAAGAAAUUGACGGAAGGGCACCACAAGGGGUGGAACCUGCGGCUUAAUUUGACUCAACACGGGGAGGGGGAAACUCACCGGGUCCGGACACAACUAGGAUUGACAGAUUGAGAGCUCUUUCUUGAUUUUGUGGGUGGUGGUGCAUGGCCGUUCUUAGUUGGUGGAGUGAUUUGUCUGCUUAAUUGCGAUAACGAACGAGACCUUAACCUGCUAAAUAGCCCGACCCGCCUCGGCGGGACGCCGGCUUCUUAGAGGGACUAUCGGCUCAAGCCGAUGGAAGUUUGAGGCAAUAACAGGUCUGUGAUGC
rnacentral:rRNA from 1 species